rnacentral:rRNA from 1 species
GACGAACGCUGGCGGCGUGCUUAACACAUGCAAGUCGAACGGAAAGGCCCUGCUUUUGUGGGGUGCUCGAGUGGCGAACGGGUGAGUAACACGUGAGUAACCUGCCCUUGACUUUGGGAUAACUUCAGGAAACUGGGGCUAAUACCGGAUAGGAGCUCCUGCUGCAUGGUGGGGGUUGGAAAGUUUCGGCGGUUGGGGAUGGACUCGCGGCUUAUCAGCUUGUUGGUGGGGUAGUGGCUUACCAAGGCUUUGACGGGUAGCCGGCCUGAGAGGGUGACCGGCCACAUUGGGACUGAGAGACGGCCCAGACUCCUACGGGAGGGAGGAGGGGGGAAUAUAGCACAAUGGACGGAAGCCUGAUGCAGCAACGCCGCGUGCGGGAAGACGGCCUUCGGGUUGUAAGCCGCUUUCGCCUGUGACGAAGCGUGAUUGACGGUAAUGGGUAAAGAAGCACCGGCUAACUACGU